CCUACCGAUUGGGUGUGCUGGUGAAGCGCUCGGAUUGGUCGCGGGCCUGCGGGUCUCCCGCAGCCCGCGACCGAGAAGUUCGUUGAACCCUCCCACCUAGAGGAAGGAGAAGUCGUAACAAGGUU
rnacentral:rRNA from 1 species